rnacentral:rRNA from 1 species
GACGUAGGGGGCCAGCGUUGCUCGGAAUUACUGGGCGUAAAGGGUUCGUAGGCGGUGCGGCAAGUCGAAAGUGAAAUCUCUGGGCUUAACUCAGAGGCUGCUUCCGAAACUGCCGUGCUAGAGUGCGGGAGAGGCGAGUGGAAUUGCAGGUGUAGCGGUGAAAUGCGUAGAUAUCUGCCGGAACACCCGUGGCGAAGGCGGCUCGCUGGACCGCAACUGACGCUGAGGAACGAAAGCUAGGGGAGCAAACAGG